rnacentral:rRNA from 1 species
AGCAGUGGGGAAUAUUGCGCAAUGGGCGAAAGCUGACGCAGCGACGCCGCGUGGAGGAAGAAGGCCUUCGGGUCGUAAACUCCUGUCAGGGGGAACGAAAAGCUUCCGGUAAAUAGCCGGGAGUCUUGACGGUACCCCCAGAGGAAGCCCCGGCUAACUACGUGCCAGCAGCCGCGGUAAUACGUAGGGGGCGAGCGUUGUUCGGAUUUAUUGGGCGUAAAGCGCGCGUAGGUGGUUAGGUAAGUGAGAGGUUAAAUCCCUCUGCUCAACAGAGGAAUCGCCUCUUAAACUGCCUUCCUUGAGUGCAGGAGAGGAGAGCGGAAUUCCUGGUGGAGCGGUGAAAUGCGUAGAUACCAGGAGGAACACCGGUGGCGAAGGCGGCUCUCUGGACUGAUACUGACGCUGAGGCGCGAAAGCCAGGGGGAGCAAACGGGAUUAGAUACCCCGGUAGUCCUGGCCCUAAACGAUGGACACUAGGUGUUGGAGGUAUCGACCCCUCCAGUGCCGCAGCUAACGCAUUAAGUGUCCCGCCUGGGGAGUACGGCCGCAAGGUUGAAACUCAAAGGAAUUGACGG